UACGUAGGGUGCGAGCGUUGUCCGGAAUUAUUGGGCGUAAAGAGCUCGUAGGCGGUGUGUCGCGUCGGCCGUGAAAACCUGCAGCUUAACUGUGGGCUUGCGGUCGAUACGGGCAUCACUGGAGUUCGGCAGGGGAGACUGGAAUUCCUGGUGUAGCGGUGAAAUGCGUAGAUAUCUGGAGGAACACCGGUGGCGAAGGCGGCAUCCUGGACCGGUAUUGACGCUGAGGCGCGAAAGCUAGGGGAGCAAACGGGG
rnacentral:rRNA from 1 species